rnacentral:rRNA from 1 species
AACGAACGCUGGCGGCAUGCCUAACACAUGCAAGUCGAACGAGACCUUCGGGUCUAGUGGCGCACGGGUGCGUAACGCGUGGGAACCUGCCCUUAGGUUCGGAAUAACUCCCCGAAAGGGGUGCUAAUACCGGAUAAUGUCUUCGGACCAAAGAUUUAUCGCCGUUGGAUGGGCCCGCGUUGGUUUAGCUAGUUGGUAGGGUAAAAGCCUACCAAGGCGACGAUCCAUAGCUGGUCUGAGAGGAUGAUCAGCCACACUGGGACUGAGACACGGCCCAGACUCCUACGGGAGGCAGCAGUGGGGAAUAUUGGACAAUGGGCGAAAGCCUGAUCCAGCAAUGCCGCGUGAGUGAUGAAGGCCUUAGGGUUGUAAAGCUCUUUUACCCGGGAUGAUAAUGACAGUACCGGGAGAAUAAGCUCCGGCUAACUCCGUG